UACUAGGCAAAGUAGUUAAAUGGCUUAGCCAGCAUGCACACAUGGGUUCUGGGAAUAAAGGCGAAAAUUUUAAACCUAAAGCCAAUGGAUCAGUUUUGACGAAUGAAGGAAGUGUGAGCUUGGCACCUGGUCAUUCUCCAGAAGAACAG